rnacentral:sRNA from 1 species
UUUUCAGAUGGUUUUUGUCAAAAAUGAAAGUGGCCGCAUCCGUGUUCAUCCUCAACCUUUAUAUAUGUUUUGUAUUAUCAUCAAAUACAACUUACAAUUCAAUAUUAUGAAUGAACACGAAUGCGGCCACUUUCAUUUUAGACGGAAACCGUCUAAAAA